GGCCUUUCACAUUCGGGAAGCGUCGGGAUUAGGUGAAAGUACGUAGUUGUCUUUCGUAAGUUAAAAUGAUAAUUGGGCCGAAACUUACUGCCUUACCUAAAAGGCAGCGCAGUCAGGAUAUUGGUAGGUCGGGGGCGGCUUUGGAAACCCUUAAGUUUACAAGCAUGCGCGGACUUGAGUGCUCAUUAGGUCGCCGGGCGUCCACGUGCAGCCCUGGACCCUGAACCCCGGCGUGCGUGGGCCGUGGGCCCUCGGGGAAAGGUUCCGUGCACUCGGGGACUCCGGUGAAGCCUGUUCAGCCGUCUGUGUCAUGUGGCCAUCUUGAGUCUACUCUGUCGCUCUUGUGCCCUAGCACCCCGAGAACCGUCAGUUUGAGCCAGAUGGAAGCUGAGCUGAACACAUUACGAUGGAUGAUGGAAACAUAAGGUACAUUUCUUUUUUGAUAUUUCUGAGUUAAUCUGAAACGCCUUAGCGGCAGGACGUUGGAAAGCUAAAGUUGGCCCGUUUUGCUGGCUUUUGUAGUUUGAGUUAACAACCAACUGAAUUAGCUGAUAAGAUCUCAAAACAGUGAGGUAAGUACACAGCUCGGAGUUUUAUAAUGCUUUUUUUCUCUUGCAGACUAUCAAGAAAUCCAAGUGGUAAUGGGCGAAGUUUAUUCAGCAUCCGGCAAUGGACUUAUCGUAGUUGGGGAAACGGGUGUUCCGAAUAAUAUCCUGGAAGUUAUCAGGACACCUAUUUUAAAUAUAGGCCUGAAUUUUGUAAAGUAAUAUUUAAGGUGGUCCGUGAUAAUUAAAUAAAAUGCUUAAUUCAUGUGGCUA
ensembl:lncRNA SNHG8 small nucleolar RNA host gene 8